GUGCUCGCUUCAGCAGCACAUAUGCUAAAAUUGGAAAGAUACAAAGGAGAUUAGCAUGGUCCCUGUGCAAGGAUGACUCACAAAUUUGUGAAGCAUUACAUAUUUAA